rnacentral:rRNA from 1 species
GGGGAUAAUACUGGAUAGGCAAUUAUUCCUGUAAUGGUUUUUUGUUUAAAUGUUUUUUCGCCUAAGGAUGAGUCUGCGGCCGAUUAGGUAGUUGGUUAGGUAAUGGCUUACCAAGCCGUUGAUCGGUACGGGUUGUGAGAGCAAGAGCCCGGAGAUGGAACCUGAGACAAGGUUCCAGGCCCUACGGGGUGCAGCAGGCGCGAAACCUCCGCAAUGUGAGAAAUCGCGACGGGGGGAUCCCAAGUGCCAUUCUUAACGGGAUGGCUUUUCAUUAGUGUAAAAAGCUUUUGGAAUAAGAGCUGGGCAAGACCGGUGCCAGCCGCCGCGGUAACACCGGCAGCUCUAGUGGUAGCAAUUUUUAUUGGGCCUAAAGCGUCCGUAGCCGGUUUAAUAAGUCUCUGGUGAAAUCCUGUAGCUUAACUAUGGGAAUUGCUGGAGAUACUAUUAGACUUGAGACCGGGAGAGGUUAGAGGUACUCCCAGGGUAGAGGUGAAAUUCUGUAAUCCUGGGAGGACCGCCUGUUGCGAAGGCGUCUAACUGGAACGGUUCUGACGGUGAGGGACGAAAGUUAGGGGCGCGAACCGGAUUAGAUACCCGGGUAGUCCUAACUGUAAACGAUGCGGACUUGGUGUUGGGGUGGCUUUGAGCUGCUCCAGUGCCGAAGGGAAGCUGUUAAGUCCGCCGCCUGGGAAGUACGGUCGCAAGACUGAAACUUAA